rnacentral:rRNA from 1 species
UUUAUGCGCUAUCAGAUGAGCCCGCGGUGGAUUAGUUUGUUGGUGGGGUAAUGGCCUACCAAGACUGCGAUCUAUAGCUGUUCUGAGAGGAAGAUCAGCCACACUGGAACUGAGACACGGUCCAGACUCCUACGGGAGGCAGCAGUGGGGAAUAUUGCACAAUGGGCGCAAGCCUGAUGCAGCAACGCCGUGUGAGUGAAGAAGGCCUUAGGGUUGUAAAACUCUUUUAGCUGUGAAGAUAAUGACUGUAGCAGCAGAAAAAGUCCCGGCUAACUUCGUGCCAGCAGCCGCGGUAAUACGAAGGGGGCUAGCGUUACUCGGAAUCACUGGGCGUAAAGCGUACGCAGGUGGCUUGAUUAGUCAGAAGUGAAAGCCCAAGGCUCAACCUUGGAACUGCUUUUGAUACUGUCAAGCUAGAGUUUGGAAGGGGAUGAUGGAAUUUCUAGUGUAGAGGUGAAAUUCGUAGAUAUUAGAAGGAACGCCAAUGGCGAAGGCAAUCAUCUGGUACAUAACUGACACUGAGGUACGAAAGCGUGGGUAGUAAACAGGA